CCAAAUCGGGCCUGGCAUCUCCAUGUCUCUCUUUCCCUCACCCUCCUUCUCGACCUACGGCCGCCGCCGCAGCCAGGCCAGCGUGGCGGCGCGCCAACCAGUACCUCCACCACUCCACCACGCACCACCAGCACCACCAUCCAUCAUCCACACGCCUCCACCAGUGCCCACCUCGCGCGCCCCUCUUGCUGCUUCCUCUCUGAACCUGCUGCUGCUGCAUCUUCCUUCUUCUUGCGCCGAUCUGCUGCUGCUCUGCUUCCUCCACUCCUCCUGCUACUCCUUCUUUUCCCCGUGAUCUGCUGCUGCUCCUUCUUCUACUGCGCUCCCUUGCUGAUCUCUCACCGCUGCUAUUCCUCCCCUCAUCACGCUGCUGCUUCCUUCUUCUCCUGCCGCUGCUCUCUUCUUCCCUCGCCUCUAGUUGCUGCUCCUAGAAUUGUCUGAACCUCAAUUUGCUGCCGCUUAUACCACAAAACAGCUGCUGCUCUCUCUCAAUCUCUCUCUCUCUCUCUCUCUCUCUCUCACACUCUCUGAUCUCGAAUGUCUGUACUCUUGAGAAGUGUGAUGUUAAGUACUUUGUAAUGUUCAGAUAUGUUAGGUGUUAGUACUAUUGUUUAGUUUCAGACUUGUGCCUGUGUGAAAAUUAGUUGAAUCCAUUCCCUGUAUACUUGGUUGUUGUAGAAACUUGUUCAGUUUGUAGUAUCUGUGAUUUAUAUAUAAUGUUGUGGUGUUCAACAGUUUUGGCCAUGUCCCAUUAUCUUAGUUUUGUCCUUUUCUUAUAUGCUAUAUAGAUGUGAUCUUACCCUGCUAUUUCCCUUUCGCCGUUGUUGAUCUUCUGUGUUAGAAUCUUAUUUUCUCAAGAAUUGUGAAAAUAUCAAAAAGAUAGUGAACAAUAUCUUAACCUUUCCUAUACUUGUUUGUUUCUUCCUUUCUCUAUAAUCUUCGGUAACAACUUUGUUUAGUUUAGGUUUAUGUUUCCUUGCAAUCAUCGUCUAUAUUCUGUCACCUAGCUUUAGCCGAGCAUUGUUGCCGUCGCCUAGUCCCUGUGGAGAACAUGACAAUUGCAGAUUUGGGCGAAAUACCCCACUGUCUUUACAAAUGAUCAUUUUGGCACCAUUGCCGGGGACUAGCGUCGUGCGACCGUGUUAGGCUAUAGACUAGGUUUUGCUUUUGUUUCUAUCUAGUGCCAUAUAUUUGUGAUAUAUCUCUUACCCCUAACCACUGUUCUAGUUAUCUUCUCUUUAUUUUCUUGUUCAUUUUGCAGGUUGAAUUGUCUUCUUCGAAAUGGCAUUCUACUCAGAUCAUCAUGCUUAUGCGAGCAACACUACAAAUAGCACGGAAAGUAUUCAAUAACUGAUAAGUAAGAUUUCCCAUCAAUUAGAUGAUUUAGCUCGGCAGCGAGAAGUAGUUUUUGAGGAUAGGCCUAGCUCUUAUGAUCCUUAUUCUAGAGGUCAUCCUUAUGUUGCUCCUACAUGCCAUAUUUGUGGAUUUCAGGGCCAUUCACUCGCUGAAUGUCAGCGUGGUUACUCUCCCCCUCCUGAUUGUUAUGGCAUGAGCUUCGCCCCACAACCUAGCUCAUACCAAAAUAAUUACUCAUAUGGGUGGCCUGAAAACCAGAAUAUGUCAUAUAGGAGCAACAACCCUGAGAUCUCAUCGUUUGCCUCUAGUUAUCCAUUGCAGGGAUUUAGGUAUGAAGGGGAGAGCCACAACUAUGCACCACAACAGUUUUAUUCACCUCCUACUCAUAUACCACAGCACCAGCAGAUCUGUCCAAUGGAGUUAAAUGGUCCUCCAUUUGGUCAACCAACAACUCCAGCACCUGUUGUGCAAUCUCAUGUGCAAGUGCCCACACAAGAUGAGUUCGAUGACAUAGACAAGCUCACACUUUUGAGUCUCGAGUUCAGUUGGAGUGCCGAGGAUGAUCCUAUUAGGAAGGUUAUUCUAGAGGAAAUGAAGAAGAUCAAGAGUGGAAAAGAGCUAGUGGAAGAAGUAAGGAAGAUUGAGAAGAACAUCAACGCUGGCAGCACUAUUUCUUCACAGCUUGAGUUGAGUGUGGCUGAGAUAUCCAUGGAUACAUGUGAGGUUCCAACACCUUCAAAUUUAGUUGAGCAAGACACCGAGAGCCCAGAGGAAGAAAGACCUCAGAUUGAAGAAGAAAUUCUCGAAGCCAAGGAACAAGAUGAACCAGAGCUUGAAUGCCCAAGUGAUCAAGAUGAAGAUCCGCUACCAAUCACUCAUGAAGAAGUAAAAGAAGCUGAUGUAGUUGAAGAUGAAGAACCUGAGAUUCAUUUGCCUAUUAUCAUACAAGAGCAUGAUGUGCCAGGUUUACCUAAUCCUCUUGAUGUCAUGCGUCCGUAUAGUUUCUUUGCUUCUACCUUGCAUUACAUGAUGCCAUCACUUAAGGUAGAUUUGAAAAAGUAUUCGCUUGGACAUGAUCAUACACACCCUGUUAGUGGCAUUGCUCAUAUUACUGUUAAUUAUACUUAUGUUCCUGAUGCUAGUCCUUUGCUUAAUGAAACAUAUCAUUCCCAUGCUAGUCUUGAGCUUAAUGAUAAAUAUCAUCCUCAUGUUAGUGUUGACUUUGCUGAUUUCUACCAUCCUAAACAUGUGCUUUAUAGCUAUGCUUAUGUAAUUGGAUACUUGAUUGAUGACUUGGAGGGUAUUAUCCCUACCACUUGCAUUGUCUCUUUUGUGGAGUGUUCUUUUAGGUUUUUGCUACUGCACCGUUUACUACAUGCUGACCAGGUUCGAGGUGACAUCCCUUGGGAUCCCGGUGGAGUCAGAGCAUGACGAUGAGGAGAAGCAAUGGGGCACACAUUUGGAAGAGAGGAGCUGGUGCUUGCAUGUGGAAGCAAAAGGAGAAGAGCUACAGCUUAGAGAGUGAUCAAGCGAGUGCUACUUCAUAGUGCUCGGUGAGCUGUUUCAUGACCCAUUCUGAACAUCAUAUAUACAUGCUGAAUUCAAUUGCUAGUUGGGUUGCUUGAGCUAGUUAUUACUUGUUGUCAAGCUGAAAUUCACCUUUGGCAUUGUGCUUGAUGUGAAUUUGUGAACUUGAUUUCUGAAUGCCUUGUAAACUAGUGAUCUACACCAUGCGUGCUUGGCUGAAAUUAGUGAGAACUAUUAGUUUUGAGUUCUCAAAUCCCUAGUGCACUAGUAAACUUUGUCAUUUUUUGCAUUUACUAUGAUACACCUAGAUCACCAUGUUUAGAUGUUGAAUUUGUGCCAAGUGUGUUCCCAUUUAGAGCAACCACCUAACCACUAUGGAUUAGCAUGCUAUGUUCCCUGGAUCGGUAGCAUGUGAACCAGACAUGGAGAAGUGAGGAUUCCUGUUUUUUUGUGCUUAUGCGUUAUUCAUUGAAAAACAAGUAUAUCUUAUAAAACAAUAAGUCUAAUCUACCUACAGUAGCAUGUCAUGUUCCCUGGAUCGGUGGCAUGUGAAAUAUGGUUUGGUUGGACAAUAAUUAAUUAUUAAAAAAAUGUAAUUGUCGAACCAGGUGUAUACCAUGUUCUCGGGAUCGGUGGUAUGUUCUUUUGGGGAGACAAACUAAAAAAUACUAAUAAUUGGUCGAGCCAGGUGUAUACCAUGUUCUCGGGAUCGGUGGUAUGUUCCUAUGGUGAGACUAAUAAUAAUAAAAUCAUUGCUUUAUUUCAGUAAAUAAGUGAUUUGAUCACAAGCUUUGUUCUCGGGAUCAUGCUCUCUUUAGGAACCUUUUGGCACAAUCAUAAUUUGAACUUGUUGAUCCACUUUUAUCAUUGUAAAAGUUUAAAAUGGUCAAGUCUACUAGUAUACUACUGCUUUGAAGCACUCCUGAGCAUUAAUUUUCAUUAGCUAAGUCCAAAGCAUGCAUUGUUUGGAGAUCUAUUUUAACAGGACAUUCUUUACCCAGUUUACUGUUCACUAUCUUGCCUUUGUCAUAUUCCUUUGCUUGAGGACAAGCAAAGAUUUAAGUGUGGGGGAACUUGAUAGAGCAUUUCUUCAUAUAAUCCUUUUAGCCUUUUUGCAUCACAUUGUAAUCAUAUUUUCACAUUAUUUACUUAAGAAAUAUUCAAAUACCCCCAUUAUGCUACAUUUACAACACUCCUCCAUAUUUUGCAGAAAAGGGCGAAAAGGCCCAAAAUCCUUCUAUAAUGGAGAGUGUCAAGUAACUGUAGUUGUUGUAAUUUACGGAGGGACCCGACUGUGAAGAAAAGAAGUAACCAGAGGGGUCAAGCUAAAGUUGGAGGGAUCAUCUUGCGAAGAAAGAAGAGAAGUGGAAGGGCAAAAGGGAAAAAGUGGCAGCUCAGGGAGGGGAUCAAAAUCCCUAGCGCUCUCAAUCCCCAAAUCGGGCCUGGCAUCUCCAUCUCUCUCUUUCCCUCACCCUCCUUCUCCACCUACGGCCGCCGCCGCGGCCAGGCCAGCGUGGCGGCGCGCCAACUAGUACCUCCACCACUCCACCACGCACCACCAGCACCACUAUCCAUCAUCCACACGCCUCCACCAGCACCCACCUCGCGCGCCCCUCUUGCUGCUUCCUCUCUGAACCUGCUGCUGCUGCAUCUUCCUUCUUCUUGUGCCGAUCUGCUGCUGCUCUGCUUCCUCCACUCCUCCUGCUACUCCUUCUUUUCCCCGUGAUCUGCUGCUGCUCCUUCUGCUGCGCUCCCUUGCUGAUCUCUCACCGCUGCUGUUCCUCCCCUCAUCACGCUGCUGCUUCCUUUUUCUCCUUCCGCUGCUCUCUUCUUCCCUUGCCUCUAGUUGCUGCUCCUAGAAUUCUCUGAACCUCAAUCUGCUGCCGCUUAUACCACAAAACUGCUGCUGCUCUCUCUCAAUCUCUCUCUCUCUCACACACUCUCUGAUCUCGAAUGUCUGUACUCUUGAGAAGUGUGAUGUUAAGUACUUUGUAAUGUUCAGAUAUGUUAAGUGUUAGUACUGUUGUUUAGUUUAAGACUUGUGCCUGUGUGAAAAUUAGUUGAAUCCAUUCCCUGUAUACUUGGUUGCUGUAGAAACUUGUUCAGUUUGUAGUAUCUGUGAUUUAUAUAUAAUGCUGUGGUGUUAAACAGUUUUGUCCAUGUCCCAUUAUCUUAGUUUUGUCCUUUUCUUAUAUGCUAUAUAGAUGUGAUCUUACCCUGUUAUUUCCCUUUCGCCGUUGUUGAUCUUUUGUGUUAGAAUCUUAUUUUCUCAAGAAUUGUGAAAAUAUCAAAAAGACAGUGAACAAUAUCUUAACCUUUCCGAUACUUGUUUCUUUCUUUCUUUCUCUAUAAUCUUCGGUAACAACUUUGUUUAGUUUAGGUUUAUGUUUCCUUGCAAUCAUCAUCUAAAUUUUGUCACCUAGCUUUAGCCGAGCAUUGUUGCCG
rnacentral:lncRNA from 1 species